CUAUGGCACACACACGAAACCAAACCAUCUUUUUUCUCUUCUUCAUUAGCAGUUGAACAAAAGCUGAUGAGCAGCUUAAAGGCCUACCUACCAUCUCGGGAAUGGGGGGUAUCUAUCUUCUUAAAGAUAGAACAAAAUUCUUCAUUCUUCAUAGACUAUAACCAGUUCUGUCUCGCAAUCGAUGAACUUCACAAAUCAAUCGAAACGGAUCUCGACAUUCACCAAGCAUUCUACGAAUCUACCAUUCUCUUUGCCUCUCUUUUGUUCGAUAAGUUGCGCCACGCUCCACGUACAAUCUCUUUUGGUGUUGUUUUUACAACCUUUGCUUUUACCUCAACCCCAACCCCAAACGCAAACCAUGUACCAAAAAGCUUUCUCAAGACCUGUUGCCUGUUGGCUGGUGUAAGGAAGUGCAGAUGGCGCCUUAGACAUGACUUCAAUUAAAGUGCAAUAACAACUCUAUUACUAGCGAAUGGCUGUAUCAAUAAGAGUCUUCUUACAGUCGGACAGACGGGCAGGCAGUCGGCAGCUAGCCAGAUGACGUGAGAUAUGAAGAGCUCUAAAACAAUAAAAAUCUGAAAUCAAUUUCUAUAAAAGCAGCUCCAGCAGCAGUAGCAUCACAAUCGGCCGAGCAGAUGGAGAAGCAAUGAUGCGUAAACGUGUUGGGGCCGAAGAUGAUGGGGGUUGAUGGGAGGGGUGGGGGCCUCGGCUACCGGUUAAAGUCGAUUCAUGUUCCAAAAGGGGUCUCCAGUCCCGGUCUCUGUCCCUGUGUUCCUGUGGCGGAGCCGAACCAGGCUCACACCUUAAAUGGCGACUGGGACAAGCUGCAGCUUCAAGAGCCUGUGAUUAUCUGAGAAAGAAGCGAGAAAUAUUUAUGAACUGAUGGCCCCAGUCAUUGAUGAGGAUCCGAUGCUGUCCGGAGUGCUGAAUGGACUGCAAUGAUGCUAUCACCAGGCCAUCUAAGGGGAGUUUCUCUGUCUCUCUAGAUCUACCUCCAACUCCAACUCCAUCUCCAUCUCUAGCUCGAACUCCAUCUCCUACUCCAGGUCCAUAGGCCACAAUGAGUUGAUGGAUAGUUGCGUAGCAGGAAGCACGCUCCAAGUAACUUAUGAAAAUGUAUAAAGAAAAAAAGUAGUAAUAAUAAGAAAGAAACAAAUCUUGGGACGGGGUUUCGGUGACCGAGCUCAACAGGUGUAAUAAUUGGAAUCUGUUUUCCAUCUGGCAUCUCCAUGGCGGCGUAGACCCUAAUCAUGGUGAGUGAGCGCGCGAGCCAAAAGAUACUAAAUUCUGCAGAUACUUUCCGGGCAGUCUUCCGACUUGCGGUUACGCUUCGUGGGCUGUGUCUAGGCAUUAAACCAACCAGCAGCUGUAAAAUUACAUCAAAUGUUUAACCAACCCCCAAGUGGGGAGAGCUCCAUCUACUCAACCUCCGAGACAAAUUUCUGGUAUAGACCGCACAGAAUUUUACUUUAUUUUGAGUGAUUACCAGAACCGUACCGAGCCGCACUAUCCUUGCAGGAGACUCAGACGAGAGUCUGACGCUUUCCCACGCUCAGAGCCACUGCUCCUGACCUGCCUCUAAUUAAAGAGGCAGCCAAGCGUUGCCACAUGUCACACCCAGUUCGCUGAUGUUGCAGUUGCACUUUCCAGCUCUUCUCCUUAUUUCUGUGUAUUUUUUCGUGGAUGACUUACGCAUUACAAAUGAAGCAAAUGGGAAUUUACAUAUCAAUCCCCAAAACCUGCGCCUCAUGCUGAUAAUUAUCUUUGCACACCAAGUGCCAGGCUCUCGUUUUUUAUUAUUAUUUUUUUUUUUUGCUAUUUCCCUCUCUUUCUCUGUCUCUUUCUGUUUGUAAUUGAAUUGGAGUGCAGCCGCGAAAAGGUCACAGACACUGCACAUGGGCCAGCAAGCGGAGUCAGCAAUAAGCCAAACACCAAGCUACAAAAUAUGGGAUAUACAAAAAGAAGUGCGGAAUAUCUUAAUGUCGAGACACGUGAACCAUGAGAAAAUUGCAUAUUAAGUGAAUGAUAAAUUUGUGGCUAAUCUUGUACAUUGCAAAUUAUUUUAUAGAGCUCUCCUCCCUCUAUUUUAUUUGAAUCAAUACCAGAUGCAAUUGGAAACUUCCAUUAAAUAUAUUUACAUAUCAUAUCGUACAUUUCCUUAGAAAUGUUUGUUGUUGUAUACUUUUCCUAUGUGUGGAGACUAACUUGAACUUGAAUGAUUAUUUGUUCAUCUUGAAAUAACACUCCUUCUGUCUAGUGUAAUUAAAGCCAGUGCCUUGGCGCGUGAGAUCAGCCAUGAAUAAGGCAGGAGCCGUGGCCAUAGCCAUAGUUGUAGAUGUAUCUCCGGCUGGAGCUAGAGCUGGUGCUGGUGCUGUAGCUGGAGCCACCUGUGCGCACAAAAAUAAUGCAAAUUAUCAGCUGAAAUUGCACGAAUGGUCAGGUGCAUCGUCAUAAUGAAGAAACUUAGGACGAGGCAGAAGGCAGAAGCAGAAGCAGCUGGGGAAGAUGGGCCAGAAGUCGCCGCUUCUUUCAUAAUUGAGUUGCAAAUGUUUCGGGGAGUGUUGCCUGCAGAAGGGGUUAAAGAGUGGCACUUUUUGGCUUUUUGGUUCCCAUGGCCGACAGAAAAGCGGGCUUAAACACUCCGUUUCAUAGAUAAUCAUCAUAAUUAUCUGGCAUACAAUAAAUAUAAUAUCCUAGGCAAAUUACAACAAUUAGGCAGCUCCCAGCUCACAGUUGGAAAACACCCAAAAAAAAAACCCAGGGGGAAAGCAAAUGAUCGUUGGGCUGCCUGUAUUUAUAUUCGAGUAUAGUAUAUGUAUCUCUCUCUCUGAAUACAAUGUAUUGUAUGAUCUGCUCUGCAGUGGGCCACAAUGAUAGAGACAAUGGCUGUGCGGCCGCAUAAUAGACAUAAUUUUCACACGCGUUUCAUUUCGGGGAGAGCAGCCCAAAUUAGGCAGAAAAACACUCUGCGGCGACGCGACGGGACCUGCCUGGCCAAAAAGAGUAAAACGCGAGCAAAUGUUUAAGCCACAGCGGGGUAGGCAGGGAAGGGCCCACGAGGGCUGGGGCAGAAACAUUUCAAAAAGGGGAAAUAUCAUUCGGUAAUUUCGGGUCGAUUAGAAAGUUGAUGUGAGAAAGGUUAUGCCACAGUUACCUCAGGUUAGAUUGCAUAAGACAGCUGCCUUACAAUGAAUAAUAUGGUGUGUAAAAUGGUUAAAUCGGUGUAUAAAUGUUCUUAGAUAUAAGAAAAUCCUAUCGGAUAAAGCCAUACCCAGAGAAAAAAGCCCUAAAAUUGUAAUAAUCGUUUUUAUACUUGGAUUUCAAAAUGUAUACCAAGAAAUUUGCUUCGAAAGUGGAAAUAAAGAAGUUUGGCUUCUCUUUAUUGGUA